AUGUGGGGAUGAAAACUGAACCUACACAAAGGAGGCUGAGCAGCAACAGCAGCAUCUCAGAAAAAGCCAUUCCAACCUGCAAGUUUGUAUGAUUCGUUAGGCCUUCUCUGCAAAGCCAUCCAAAGAAAACACAGAAGGCUCUCGAAACAGCUGCUCUGACCGCCUGUGCAGGAGGGGCGAUGUCUCCGGCGAGGAGUGGUUAGGGGUCGUGAAGGGCGGCGAUGGCGAUGGCGAAGGCGAAAACGGAUACUUGCGGUUACCUGGUCCUACACUGAUCGGAAGGGGAGAAGGUGGUGUUGGAGGAGAAGAUGAGGGUGAGGCCAAAUAAGGCCUCAUUGGCACUAAACCUUUUCGAGUGGAGAACUCAGAGAAAGAAAACAAAACAAUCUAAUAAUCUGGUGUGCAGUUGUUGUUGUUGCUAUCUUUUGUCUGCCUAAAUCUCAGAAGCUUGGUUAACUGCCAGUCCAACUGAUGAGCAAAGUUUGAUGUGCCUCCAGCUAACCUUCAAAUUCUUCAGUUCCAUAUAUGGCCAUCUAAAUCUGUAAAUAUAUAAUAAUUAUUGCAUUCAGCUAAGGGUAUAAUUGGGAAACAAGUGCACACCAUAAGUUCAAAGAAAUCAAUUCAGCAUGAAGUGGAUGGAUCUGUGGCCUCUUAA